CUCAAUUCCAUUUUUUAGGUUUUAAAAGUAUGGACUCUGCCCCCCAGUUGGUUUCUGACUACCUUGCAGGAAAAUUUGACUUGGAUGGCUUGGUGACUCAUACUUUGCCUUUUACUAAAAUAAAUGAAGGUUUUGAGCUUCUGAGAUCUGGCAAAAGCAUUCGCACGAUCUUGUUGUUCUAAACUGAAGACUUUCGUUGGACAUCUUUUACCAAAGAAAUUAUUGUGGAUCAGUCACAAAAAAUGAUUUGCUCUAAUGUAAUCAAGCUUCGAUACAUUUUUAAAAUGAACUAAUUUGGUUAAACAAAAAAUAAAGGAGUUCACAUAUUGUUCAAAACAAUUUCAGUAUCAUAUAAUAUUGUAUCAAUGGUAAGCAGAUGGUUGUCUGUUUAUAAAAUUAGUUUGAUAGCUUUUUACUAUUAAUAACUCACUGACUGCCUUUGAAUGAAAUAAAAUAGAGGUUUAUGAUAAAUGGA